AGCUGUGGUCUGGGGUGCGAUUUAGCUGAGAAAUACCCAACGAACCUGAUGCAGUUAACACUGCCGUAGGGAGACCUGAUUGAUGAAGC
rnacentral:ncRNA from 2 species